rnacentral:tRNA from 1 species
GGAGAUAUGGCUCAGUGGUAGAGCAUCAGUUUAACAAGUAGGAGGCCCUGAGUUCGAACCCCAGUGUGUGUG